rnacentral:siRNA from 1 species
AUGUAGGGCUCUAAAAGAUGAUGC